CUAACACAUGCAAGUCGAACGGUAACAGGGAGAAGCUUGCUUCUUUGCUGACGAGUGGCGGACGGGUGAGUAAUGUCUGGGAAACUGCCUGAUGGAGGGGGAUAACUACUGGAAACGGUAGCUAAUACCGCAUAACGUCGCAAGACCAAAGAGGGGGACCUUCGGGCCUCUUACCAUCGGAUGUGCCCAGAUGGGAUUAGCUAGUAGGUGGGGUAACGGCUCACCUAGGCGACGAUCCCUAGCUGGUCUGAGAGGAUGACCAGCCACACUGGAACUGAGACACGGUCCAGACUCCUACGGGAGGCAGCAGUGGGGAAUAUUGCACAAUGGGCGCAAGCCUGAUGCAGCCAUGCCGCGUGUAUGAAGAAGGCCUUCGGGUUGUAAAGUACUUUCAGCGGGGAGGAAGGGAGUAAAGUUAAUACCUUUGCUCAUUGACGUUACCCGCAGAAGAAGCACCGGCUAACUCCGUGCCAGCAGCCGCGGUAAUACGGAGGGUGCAAGCGUUAAUCGGAAUUACUGGGCGUAAAGCGCACGCAGGCGGUUUGUUAAGUCAGAUGUGAAAUCCCCGGGCUCAACCUGGGAACUGCAUCUGAUACUGGCAAGCUUGAGUCUCGUAGAGGGGGGUAGAAUUCCAGGUGUAGCGGUGAAAUGCGUAGAGAUCUGGAGGAAUACCGGUGGCGAAGGCGGCCCCUGGACGAAGACUGACGCUCAGGUGCGAAAGCGUGGGGA
rnacentral:rRNA from 1 species